UGAGGAACUUGUCCCGGUCUCUGGGAUAACAGUUGGGAACGACUGCUAAUACCGGAUGACGUCGGAACUUCGCAUGGAGUACUGACGAAAGGGUUACUGGAUCGGGAGAGCCUCGCGGCCUAUCAGCUUGUUGGUGAGGUAAUGGCUUACCAAGGCGACGACGGGUAGCCGGCCUGAGAGGGUGACCGGCCACAUUGGGACUGAGACACGGCCCAGACUCCUACGGGAGGCAGCAG
rnacentral:rRNA from 1 species